UACAGAGGUCUCGAGCGUUGUUCGGAUUCAUUGGGCGUAAAGGGUGCGUAGGUGGCGAGGCAAGUCAGGUGUGAAAUCCCGGGGCUCAACCCCGGAACUGCAUUUGAUACUGCCUUGCUCGAGUACUGGAGAGGAGACUGGAAUUUACGGUGUAGCAGUGAAAUGCGUAGAUAUCGUAAGGAAGACCAGUGGCGAAGGCGAGUCUCUGGACAGUUACUGACACUGAGGCACGAAGGCCAGGGGAGCAAACGGG
rnacentral:rRNA from 1 species